rnacentral:rRNA from 1 species
UGGGGAAUUUUGGACAAUGGGGGAAACCCUGAUCCAGCCAUGCCGCGUGUGCGAAGAAGGCCUUCGGGUUGUAAAGCACUUUCGGCCGGAACGAAAUCGCGCGGGUGAAUAUCCCGCGUGGAUGACGGUACCGGAAGAAGAAGCACCGGCUAACUACGUGCCAGCAGCCGCGGUAAUACGUAGGGUGCGAGCGUUAAUCGGAAUUACUGGGCGUAAAGGGUGCGCAGGCUGUCCCGCAAGUCAGGCGUGAAAUCCCCGGGCUUAACCUGGGAAUGGCACUUGAAACUACGGGACUGGAGUGUGGCAGAGGGAGGUGGAAUUCCACGUGUAGCGGUGAAAUGCGUAGAUAUGUGGAGGAACACCAAUGGCGAAGGCAGCCUCCUGGGUCAACACUGACGCUCAUGCACGAAAGCGUGGGGAGCAAACAGG